rnacentral:rRNA from 1 species
GACGAACGCUGGCGGCGUGCUUAACACAUGCAAGUCGAACGGAAAGGCCCCUUUGGGGGUACUCGAGUGGCGAACGGGUGAGUAACACGUGAGUAACCUGCCCUUGACUUCGGGAUAACUUCAGGAAACUGGGGCUAAUACCGGAUAGGAAUCCUUGCUGCAUGGUGGGGGUUGGAAAGCUUCGGCGGUUUUGGAUGGACUCGCGGCUUAUCAGCUUGUUGGUGGGGUAGUGGCUUACCAAGGCUUUGACGGGUAGCCGGCCUGAGAGGGCGACCGGCCACAUUGGGACUGAGAUACGGCCCAGACUCCUACGGGAGGCAGCAGUGGGGAAUAUUGCACAAUGGGCGGAAGCCUGAUGCAGCAACGCCGCGGGCGGGAGGACGGCCUUCGGGUUGUAAACCGCUUUCAGCAGGGGUGAAGCUUGUGGUGACGGUACCUGCAGAAGAAGCACCGGCUAACUACGUG